CCUACGGGAGGCUGCAGUGAGGAAUAUUGGUCAAUGGGCGGGAGCCUGAACCAGCCAAGUCGCGUGAAGGAAGAAGGUACUUAGUAUUGUAAACUUCUUUUGUCGGGGAACAAAGGCGGAGACGCGUCUCCGGAUGAGUGUACCCGAAGAAAAAGCAUCGGCUAACUCCGUGCCAGCAGCCGCGGUAAUACUGAGGAUGCGAGCGUUAUCCGGAUUUAUUGGGUUUAAAGGGUGCGCAGGGGGGAGAUCAAGUCAGCGGUAAAAUGUAGGGGCUCAACCCCGGCCGGCCGUUGAAACUGGUUGUCUAGAGUUGGAGAGAAGUAUGCGGAAUUCGUGGUGUAGCGGUGAAAUGCAUAGAUAUCACGAAGAACUCCGAUUGCGAAGGCAGCAUACCGGCUCCAUACUGACGCUGAGGCACGAAAGCGUGGGGAUCGAACAGGAUUAGAUACCCUUGUAGUC
rnacentral:rRNA from 1 species